rnacentral:tRNA from 1 species
GGGGGUUUAGCUCAGUGGUAGAGCGCUUGCCUAGCAAGCACAAGGACCUGGGUUCGGUCCCCAGCUCCG